CACGAGGACUAAUUUAAAAGCCUCACUGAGAAAAAUGAAUGACUUCAGUCCUUGACACUUUCCAAGUUCUUUCCCCUAGCUCGCCCGGGAAAUGCACCCCAUUAAUAACCAAUAAACGUUAAGAACGUCACCUCCCCACCCCUCUGGAAUUCCAAAGGGAGAAAUUUCUGGCCUGGGGACGUCCCCGGUUGUCCCCAUCAGGAAAGUGGUAUCAUGGAAGACACUUGAGACCCUCGUCCACCCGGAGGUGGCACCAGAGGAAUCUACGCAGCAAGCGUAGAUUGAGGAGCCCUUGUCUCCUGUUUUUAAUCUGAUUUUCCUUUCACAGUCUCUGCCUCUAAAGAGUCUAGUUCUUGUGUCUUCGGCCUUUCCCCUGUCCUAAAAUUGCACUGCUCUUUGUAGAAGUCAUUCCUCCCCCUACCUCCCAUGUGCCACACUUUUAAUAAACUAUUUUUCUCCUCUUAAUCUUUGUUUAGAGAUUCUGGCCAAGAACUGUCCCUCCCUCACCCUAUCUUAAGAUACUCGGCACAUUGCCUGUGGUGUACAUUAAAUCUACUUGAG
rnacentral:lncRNA from 1 species